rnacentral:rRNA from 1 species
GAUAAACGCUGGCGGCGCACAUAAGACAUGCAAGUCGAACGGAAGUCGUUAUACUGAUUUUGAAAAGAACGGAGAACUUGUUCAAAGGGACGUGAUGAAGAUUUAUAACAAUGGCUUUAGUGGCGGACUGGUGAGUAAUACGUAAGCAGCCUGCCUAUUAGAGGGGAACAACAGUUAGAAAUGACUGCUAAUACCGCAUAUGCCAUAGUAGCCACAUGGUUACAGUGGGAAAGGAGUAAUCCGCUGAUAGAUGGGCUUACGGCUGAUUAGCUAGUUGGUGUGGUAAUGGCAUACCAAGGCGACGAUCAGUAGCCGGACUGAGAGGUCAGGCGGCCACAUUGGGACUGAGAUACGGCCCAGACUCC